rnacentral:rRNA from 1 species
CGUAGUUGGAUUUGUGAAUGGGUUGAGGGAUGCGUCCUCAUGGUCGCGAUCCUUUCGGCUUGUUCAUCUUUGGUUGGAAUCUGCGUGGCAUUAAGUUGUCGUGCAGGGGAUGGCCAUCGUUUACUGUGAAAAAAUUAGAGUGUUCAAAGCAGGCUUAUGCCGUUGAAUAUAUUAGCAUGGAAUAAUGAGAUAGGACCUUGGUACUAUUUUGUUGGUUUGCGCACCGAGGUAAUGAUUAAUAGGGACAGUUGGGGGUAUUUGUAUUUCAUUGUCAGAGGUGAAAUUCUUGGAUUUCUGAAAGACAAACUACUGCGAAAGCAUUUACCAAGGAUGUUUUCAUUAAUCAAGAACGAAAGUUAGGGGAUCGAAGAUGAUUAGAUACCAUCGUAGUCUUAACCAUAAACUAUGCCGACAAGGGAUUGGCGGUCGUUUUUUGACCCCGUCAGCACCUUAUGAGAAAUCACAAGUCUUUGGGUUCCGGGGGGAGUAUGGUCGCAAGGCUGAAACUUAAAGAAAUUGACGG